rnacentral:rRNA from 1 species
AUGGUGGGCAGGGCCUUCGCCUGCUCCUUCGCGUGCCUAGAGGAGCCCUCCGAUGGCGUCACCAGGGUCAGGCACAGCAAUGCAGAGGAACCGGCCGGGGAGCGCCCUGCUGCCGGGGUGGCAUCCGAGAGCAGGAACGGGGGGCAUUCCGCCGAUGUGGCCGGCGGCGAGGGGCCGAGGUUCAGGGAGAGGAGGAGCUGCAGUGACGCCGGCCUGGAGAUAACCGUGUCAGCCUCAGGUGUCCGGCGCCGGAGGUCCAACAGGUGGAGCAGGGUGUGGGAUCGCAGCAUCACGAGUCCACUCAAGGAGUUCGUGAGGAAGGGGGAGCACGCUCUUGACCGGUCCUUCUCGGAGUCGAGGAGGGAAACCAGGAGGUGCAAAAAUGGGGAGACAACAGACAUCGAAAAUGGCGAAAUUCACCAUGGCCGCAACGGGUCGGCACUUCCUGGCAGAGCAAGCCAGAGCACAAGCAGAAGAUCACAAGCUCACACGGCUAAUGGGGAGGAGCAGAAUUUCCGCACGGAUUGGCUCAGGAACAAGGAAUGCAGGAUCAGCAGGAGCAGGAGCGUGCAUUACACUUCUCCUGGGAACUUCGAUAAUGGGAUGCUGCGGUUUUACCUGACGCCGAUGAGGAGCAACAGAGCCGCAAACAGGGGGAGGAGGAGAAGCUCGCGCUUGUUUGGAAGAGGACUUUUUGGUUUCGUUUGA